ACAAAGUAAGCUUGGAAGUAGCUAUCUUUUAAUGAUAGUGUAACAACUCAAUAGUCUAAAAUUCUAGAAUUUUGUAAGAAAUUCUAGAUUGAUAGAAGGCAUCGAAGAUUUAUCGGGUCUGAAAUAUCUAACCUACAUUAUGAUCUUAUUUAUUAUUGAAAGUAAUAAUAAAUAGGAAGGUAGCAGAACACUUAGUAUUCAGUGUGAAGAAAUGAAUAAAUUCAUUUUGGACAAUACUAAAGAGAGAAUGCUGGCAUGAGUAACGAUAAAGGAGUUAGAAUACUCCUCGCCGAAAACGAAAGGGUUUCAUGGAAAAGGUAAUCUGCCAUGAUUUAUACGGCUUCUAAGGGAAAUGAACGAAUUGUCAUUUUCUGAUGAAAGAAAGAAAUAAACAACCUUAGAAAUAAGGUUCAGGAAAAAUAUUUCUUCUAUAAAUAGUAACCGUACCUGAAACCGACACAGGUUCGUGGGUAGAGAAUACUAAGGCGUAGAGAUAAGGCUAGUGAAGGAACUCGGCAAAUUGCUUCUGUAAGUUCGACGAUAAAGAAGAAGAGAUAAUGAUGAGAUAUGAGAAUAUCUUAUCUUAUUUCUUGGCACAAAAGUGAGGGCUUCGACUGUUUACUAAAAACACAGCAACUUGCUAAGACGAAAAGUACUUGUAUAAGUUGUGAACUCUGUCCAAUGCCAUUUGUAUAAAGAAGGUAAUCUUCUUAAAGAAGUGUUACUGACUGAUGCGGUGGUGAAUGACGGUCUUAACUAUAAGGAUCUGAAAGUAGCGAAAUUCCUUGGCCAUUAAAUGUGGUCCUGCAUGAAUGAGGUAACGCGGCCCUGCUGUCUCCACUAGCUUCUCAGUGAAAUUGAAUUAGCCGUGCAGAUGCGGUUUGCCUUCCGGAGGACGCGAAGACCCUAUGCAGCUUUACUGUAUUCUGAUAUUGCCGUUUGUGAUAUAUAGUGUAGAAUACAAGGGAGUGAAAACAUCCGUGAAAUACCUUGAUAUAUUGAAAUGAAUGGCUUAUUUAUAAAAAGACAGUGUCAGAUGGUCAGUUUUACUGGGGCGGUAGCCUCUAAAAAAGUAUCAGAGGCCUUCAAAGGUAUAUUUAUAUUGGUCGGAAACCAAUGGAAGAAUAGUAUUCUAUCAAAAUGUAAUGAUAAAGUAUGCUUUACUGAAAGAUUGAUAAAUCGAUCAGUUACGCAAGUAGGAUAUAGUGAUCCGAUGAUUCAGAAUGGAAUGAUCAUCGCUCAAGAAAUAAAAGUUACGCUAGGGAUAACAGGUUUAUCGUUUGCGAGAGUUCAUAUUGUCCAAACGGUUUGACACCUCGAUGUCGACUCUUCUCAUCCUCCAGGUGUAGUCGCUUGGAAGGGUUCAGCUGUUCGCUGAGUAAAGAGGAACGUGAGUUGGGUUUAAUACGACGUGAGUCAGUAUAGAUUCUAUCCUCGGAAGGAAACAAGAAUAGAAGAAGAACCUCUAAUUUGUACGAAAGGACCGUUAGAGAGAAUUCCAUGGUGUAUCUAUUGUUGUAGAAAUAUGGCACAGUAGAGUAGCUACAAUUCUAAAAGAUAAAUACUGAAAGCAUAUCAAGUGUGAAACAGAUCUUCUGAUAUUCUCAAAUAAGAAAAA
rnacentral:rRNA from 1 species